UACGAAGGGGGCUAGCGUUGUUCGGAAUCACUGGGCGUAAAGGGCGCGUAGGCGGGGAGGUAAGUCGGGUGUGAAAUCCCUCGGCUCAACCGAGGAACUGCGCCCGAGACUGCUUCUCUUGAGUCCCGGAGAGGAAGGUGGAAUUCCCGGUGUAGCGGUGAAAUGUGUAGAGAUCGGGAGGAACACCGGUGGCGAAGGCGGCCUUCUGGACGGUGACUGACGCUGAGGCGCGAAAGCGUGGGGAGCAAACGGG
rnacentral:rRNA from 1 species